AGGGUUCUUUACCCAUCCCCAGUUCUGAUCCCGGCUGUCCGGUACCCAUGGGACUAGGUGGGCCUUCUCAGACCAGCUGGAACCCAUGGCCACCCCUCCUCCUCUCCAGACCCCAUCGACUGUUCUUUCCCCCUGCCUGCUAACUGGCUUCUGCGUGGAACUCCAGUUCCCACCCGCCUUGUGCCUCAUGCACUCUGGCUUCUCAGUCUCAGCAUGGCUGCCCGCUGCCCUCUGCCCUCCCGCAAGUUUUCUUCUCUGACAGCGUGGGUGUCUGUGCCGUCGGCUCUCGUCACGUGUCUUCGACAUGCCUCGAACGAGGAAGCAAGGUGUGACCCCACGGUCACCUAGGCUACGGUGGGAUCGUCCCAACCUGCGGCUGGGUGGACUUGUGGUACCUACCUCUCAAGAUACAGUGCCACGGGGGUUCUGCAAGGGGUCCCAAGCAGAUGCUCACAUAGGUUCCCAGACAUUCUCAGAGGAGCCCUGAGAAUGCUCCUGUGGUGGCAGAGGACUCCACAUCUGGCCUGCUAGUCCCUCCUCUCAAGGCUGUCUACACUGCUCAGUCUUUGUUGAAGAGAUAGAGGGAAAAAUACGAGUCCCCCUCUCUCUCCUGGCCCUUCACACUUCUGACGAGAGAUGUGUGCGAACGUUCUCUCCGUGACACCAACAGGAUUGGCUCCCCGAUCCAGGAGCCGACCCAGAAUCACCUCACCAGAAUGUCACGUGCUCCAGGCACCCGAGAAGUACUCAGGGAUGCAGAACACUGUGUCAGACACUCAACUCACCCUGGAAGUCACAGAGGUCUCAGGUGCCAGUAUCAGGAAACAGGGUCAAAGGUCAAUUAUGAGAACUAAUGAUGUGCUUGACUCUAGGGUUCAGGAAAUACCCAGAGCUUUAGAAGGCCGAGACAGGCAUUGAGAGCAGGGAGCAGAUCUAUACUUGCGAUUAUAUCAUUGCUGUAUGGUGAAUGUGUCACCUCUCAGAUUCUGGUGGCGCCUUUAAGAGAUGAUCAGGAACAAGGUGCUGGGGUGGCAUCAGAUUCCUGUUACACAGAGGCUUCCGCCUCCAGCCACAUGAAGAGCAGGUGUUCCCUUCGUCCCAAGAAUGACAGCAACAGAUGCCGUCUUGGCAGUGGGCUAAUGAGGGUCCCUCCCCUUGGGGCUCUGUUAGAGCAUGCCAAGCUGCCCUCUUGUGUUUACAUGCCCACAGGCGUGCCUCUUCCGAUGCGGGGGCCCACGGGGCCUGCCAGACUGCCCUCCCCUGAGCCUACGACCCUCCGUCCAGACAGUGCACAGGACAAAUCUUCCAAAUUCUCACUGUGUAGGCAAAGAAAGCAAAACACAAUUCCCACUUCAGAAGGAGUAAGAGAGUUUAUUCACAUAGAAGCGUCUGUGGGGGUGGCCGUGGGGGUCUCGGCUAUAGGCUUCGGAUAUCGUCUGAUGACAUUCUUAGUUUUCAGGAUGGUAGAAGCUAGUGGUAUCAACUUAAUGGUGCAUUCCAAAGGUUUACCUGAUAGUCAAAAGGAUAUUGGGUCAGGUGCAGAGGUGAGUGCUAAAGUUGUAUAGCCCAAGAGAACGUUGGUUUUGGAUCUGCAACAUUCCCACUCCCUACAGUCAGGAAGUGAUAAUCAGUCUACAAAACCUCCUUCGGGGAACUUUAAUCCAUUUGGGCAUACCUAGUCUAUUACCGAACACUUGAGGUAUAAGCAAGGGUCCCACUGUCUACAUCCACGGUGACUGUACAUCCCUGGCCAGGGUCCCCUGAUGGCAACACAAUCAUUCAGAAUGACUUCUCCAGUGGUGUGAGCAGUAACAGAGAGGGCCUUGCUGGAAGCUAGCAGGAGAUGAUUCCAGGACCCAUCUGCUCUCCACGGGAAAUGAAAUGGGGACAUGAUCGCUCCAAGCUACACAGGAAGACCCCACCCUGAGACAGGCUGAGGAAUAACACCAUGGACAGUGAGAGAGGCAGGUUCGGAGGGGCCCAGUUGAAAGCAGGCCACUCGCUGGCUGAUUGUCACUGUGGCCUUGGGCACAUCUUAAGAAGACAGGCAGAACAGGAAGUGGCCACCUAAAAGGGACAGUAGAUAAGCAACAUGUGACUUCAGAGGAGGCUGGCAAAGCAGCCAGGCUGCAGUGUGCUCCACUUACCAGACAAGGUACGGAGCCCAGAGAGGUGCAGUACAGUCAAAACCACACACAGCUGCCCCUCUCCUGACUUCCCUCACAGGGCUCAAUUCACUUCCUGGAGCUGAGACCAGGUAGAAAUGGGGUUUCUCUUUGGGGGGACAGUUUACUCAAAGCUCCCACUCACACAGGACAGCCUAACAAGUGCCUGAGGUGAGCCCUUGGCCCAGGGCCUCAGAGGGCCUCUAGGUCCGGGACUAUUGUUCCACCACUCUCUGGCCUCUAAGGCCAAGGUUUUGGAACGACACUUUUCUGUCAUCUGACUCCAAGACUUCAAGGCUGGGGAUGGGUAGGAGAACAUACAGACCUAGCCAAA